AGGCAAACUUAAAGGAAAACGAGAUGAUCGCGUCACUCAAAGUCUGCAAACAGGGGCAAACAUCAAGCAAUGUCACGUUAACUCCUUGCACCUCGAACGAGUCGCUGAAUGGAAAUGUCAUGUGAGCAUCGACAAUCAUUUUCCCUACCAGGGAUUAGCGUGCUAUGGAAAAAUCCGUAACGACAGUCAAUAUCCAUUGAACUGACUGAUAGGUAUUUAAGACAGCAACAGCAAAUCAGAGGCGACUUCCUUGCUCCAAGAUGCGUUCUCCGCUUCAAGAGUCAGGCAAAUUCCAUAACAAACAAUUUCCUUGUCUUUCUCAACACCAUAGGAAAAAGAUUACUCUCACUUUUUGAAGAUCGUCACUAGGAUAAAACAAUCGUCCGUUCUCUGCAGGAAUGGCUACAGUAAGGGGAAAUGCGAGUAAUUCCUUGCAAACAAGAAGAUGGCGCUUCUGUCGAAGACCCAAUCAAUGAAAACUAAAAUUGUCUAAUCGGAUUGGGAUCACGGACAAAGUUAUAACGAGGAGAGCCGGUAAGAGAGCGAGGGCGUAUUAGGCAAAUGAUACGAAAUACUAACAUUCACGAUCGGGAAGGGGGGAGUCGGGGAGGAGAAGUCAUGAAAGAAGGAAAGAAAAUUGGUGUGUAACGAUAUUCCAGGCAAUAACAUGGUGGUACUCUUACUGUACUGUAUAUCUGGCUGUUCCAUCACACCUAUUUCCCCACACCACGUGACUAUAAGUCAGACAUUCUGUGUACGGACGCAAUGACAUUAAUUACUGUACCUUCAUUAAAAUCAGGAUACGGUUGAUCAGCCGAACUUAACGGAGCCUAAUACCCGCUAGUUUUGCAUCUUUGGGUUACCCUGCCAACUAAUUUCAACACAUGAGCUGAAGUUAUUUAGCUUUGAGUUAGAUGCCCAAUUGAAGACCGACAUGUGUGCAUAAUGUAAGGCUGAUUUAUACCUCUGCGUAGAAUCUACACCGUUGGUAUUGCAUAUGGUAUGUGGCGACCUACGGCUACGGAGAUUCUAUGCAGAGGUACCAAUCAGUCUUUACACAGGGAGGUGGCCAGACAGCAUCAGGUGAUAAUCAUGACUGUAAUAUAAAAAUGAUCAUCAUGUAAUUACACUCAAUUAUAAAUACAAUUACUAAGACAGUAGAAUUGUUGUAUAAUAUUGGGUAAAAGAGGAAAAAACUUAAACAAGAUGACAGACCCCAAAGCCUAACCCAAGCUGUUACGUUUUCACGAUCUAGGUUUGAAAUACCUCUAUUGUAGUUUCAUUCUUUCUAGCCUAUUUUGUCAAAUCUACCCUCUCUCCCACCCAUAAAUUUACUCCGUUCUCUCCUCCCAUUUCUGUAUCAUGUGCUUCUGUUUGCCGUCACACUUUGAGAAGAUCUUACAUUCAUUAAUAUUUCAGUUACUAUAUAACUACAGAGCGGACACCCGCAUGAAGAACACCUUGUGUAGUGUUUGCUUUCAGCCUUUCAGAAAGGAUAAGAUACGAGUACGGCCCCAGUCUGGGACGUGAAGUCACUACAUUCUGGUCAUGUUAAAUACUCCAGUACCAUAUAAAGUUGCCCCGCUCCCAGUAGUCUAGACAGCAUUUGUGAGUCGACCACUCAUGACACUGACACAUGUAGAGGUUACUGUCACUCGAUUUAGUCCCUGUGGGAUUUAGACUGAGAUCCAGCCCCCCAUUCAGCUAACAGAGGAAACCAACAGGACCCCACCAGCAUCGCCUCCUCCAUGCCUUCCACAUCGCCAAGGAGUUACUUUCUGUAAAAUAUGAGGGCAUUAUAAGUUCACCCACCCUCCACCACUUCCCUUCCUGUUGGAGGGGAUCAAGCGAUGGGAGGAAACCCAGAACCUGUCCCCCCCCCCAAUCAUUCCCAAAGGCCCUGGGAUUUAUCGUGAGACCACAGGAUGAAACACUUGACAGAAAUAUUAGCCCAUGCCGGUUUUAUCGCCCGGUGCCAUCGGAGCCCUGAUCGGUCCCAUCGCGGUGGUUUGUUUUGAUCUUUUUAUGAAGCGUUGCAGGAACGCGUGCCUGUGGGCAUCGGCUUUCCCUGUAAGACCACUAUGAUUCCCGCGGCCAGGGGGAGAUGUUAUCACAGCUGACUGCACUUUGCUGCCCCCCCCACCCCCACCCACC